GGGCCCAUAGUUAAGUGGUAUAACGGCACAUUCGCAUUGUGCAGGCGUGAGUUCGAUUCUCACUGGGUCCA
rnacentral:tRNA from 1 species